GAUGAACGCUAGCGGCAGGCCUAACACAUGCAAGUCGAGGGGUAGAAGGAGCUUGCUCCUUUGAGACCGGCUCACGGGUGCGUAACUCGUAUGCAAUUUACCUUGUACAGGGGAAUAGCCCAGAGAAAUUUGGAUUAAUGCCCCAUAGUAUAUAACCUUCGCUUGUUGGUUAUAUUAAAGUUCUAACGGUACAUGAUGAGCAUGCCUCCCAUUAGUUAGUUGGUAAGGUAACGGCUUACCAGGACGAUGAUGGGUAGGGGUCCUGAGAGGGAGAUCCCCCACACUGGGACUGGGAAAAGGACCAGACACAUACGGGAGGCAGCAGUGAGGAAUGUUGGUCAAUGGUAGCAAGAAUGAACCAGCCAAGCCGGAUGCAGGAAGACGGUCCUAGGGAUGGUAAACUGCUUGUAUAAAGGAAGAAACGCUCCCGCGUGUGGGAGCUUGACGGUACUGGAGGAAUAAGGAUCGGCUAACUCCGUG
rnacentral:rRNA from 1 species